GACGAACGCUGGCGGCGUGCUUAACACAUGCAAGUCGAACGGAAAGGCCCUGCUUGCAGGGUACUCGAGUGGCGAACGGGUGAGUAACACGUGGGUGAUCUGCCCUGCACUUCGGGAUAAGCCUGGGAAACUGGGUCUAAUACCGGAUAGGACCAUCGUUUAGUGUCGGUGGUGGAAAGUUUUUCGGUGCAGGAUGAGCUCGCGGCCUAUCAGCUUGUUGGUGGGGUAAUGGCCUACCAAGGCGUCGACGGGUAGCCGGCCUGAGAGGGUGGACGGCCACAUUGGGACUGAGACACGGCCCAG
rnacentral:rRNA from 1 species